UCGGACGUGGUGUAUGGUGCACUCCCGCUUUCGAUCUCUGAAUGGUAUGGUUGAGGAGGGAGUACUGGGUUCGAUUCCCGGUGUCCGAA